AAAAAACUAGGUUGUGCCUCUAUAUAAACAACAGAAUGAGAAACUAAAUCGACCGGAAGUACAACGAUAGGAAAAAAAGAAUAGUGUACCCCCUCCUCAUGGCGCUUCUCAAGAACAUCCCAGGGGUUUUGUGCUUGGCAGCCCUUCUUGUGAUAUCCGCCACCUUCUUAUCAUGUGAUGCAUCCUACGGGGUCAAAGGUAUAUUCCUUUUAUUAUAUUCAUAUUUAUUUUUGCUCUAUACAACGGCCUGGAACAUUUUUUGGAUGAUCAAACAAAUGCAAGCCUCAUGUCAUGUCUCUCUCGAUGUAUAUACCUACAACUUUGGCCAUGGCUAAAUAUAUAUGCUUGGGUGUGCAGAUGGAGAAGGUUUUAACAAGUUCUGUGUGGGUUGGGACCAAGGCUGCAAGGACCCGGUGAAUGGAAUCCCUAGUCAGUGUCAGAUUUACUGCAGAGACAACGGUUUUGUCUUAGAGAAAGGCAAAUGUGCACCGGACAAUGGAAAGCCCAACCGCAUGUGCUGCUGCUAUAAGUAGACACUUCUGUGUGAAUUCGUGAAAGAGUGCAAAACUUUUUCUAUAUGAGAGAUCUCGAAAAAUAAAUUAAUAAAGCAUUGUUUGAUCUAUGUCUAUCAUCAGAAUGACUACUCAGUGAUCCCGGGCAGUGCUACGCAGUACAACAUUCAGCAAUCAACGGCCGUGGAGUAGUUGCGAUCCCUACAACAGCUAAGAGUAUUACAUAGAGUUUUUAUCGAACUUAUAUUAUACGUAGGUAAUAGGAUUUGGGUCUGUCUAGGACACAUCUUAUGUCACAUCUAACCUGAUGUCCACUAUGUUUGUGGUUUUGUUUUCCUAGCUUUUUUUUUCUUGUUGCCGCGUUAUUCGUGGAAGCUUAGAUGUGACAUUCUUAGAAAAUAUCUAGAUGUGAAUUAGACAAACUGAUAGAAUUUUUGAUACCUAUAAUAUACUUGUAGUGACUGAAACUUUGUAGGUGUUAUAUCAGACCACGUUUUUUGCCGUAGGAUUAGAAGAGCGGAGUGUCAGAUUGGAGUCUGAAGCGGGCACGAACCCAACACGAACGUACGAACGGGUUCUUACUUCUUAUACAACGGAAAGGCAGUGACACGUACGAGACCCAACGAGAUCAGGGUAGGUCGCGAAUCAACCUGUGGUUGAGUUGGUUAGAUGGACAGUGGUAUCUCCAACCCACUAAGGUUUGCAUUCUGGUGCUCGCAUUAAUCCUGGAUUUAUUUCAGGAUUUCCGGCGAUGCGCUUUCAGUAGGAGGAGACGUUCCCCUCGACGAUGAGGCGCCUACGGUGACUUCGUAAAUCUCAAAAUGAUAUGCCGGCUCAGUCUUUUGGAGGUGCUCAUAGGGAUAGGGUGUGCGUGUGUGCGUUCAUAGGAAUAAGAGUAUGCGCGUGUAUAUGAGCGUUUGUGUUUGUACUGAUGCUCAGAAAAAAAAAGAGAUCAGGGUAGGUCGAGGGCUGCCGGCACGUCUCGCGCCGUUGCACGUACGCACUUGCGUUUAGCCGAUGGACGAGGGAAUCACAGCUGCUGCAGGGACUUGCCGGCGGACGCCCUGGGGCACAUCAUGGAGCGGCUGCGGCUGCCGCCCAACGCGCGCUGCCCUCUUCGCCUCGUCUGCCGGCAUUGGCGCGACGUCAUCGACCAGCUCUCGGCGAUUGACUUGCGCAGCCGCCCCAAGAUCCUCGCCUUCAGCCCCGAGGGCCUCGCGUACGUCGGCGACGUCGUCCUGCCGCCGGAGGGCGGCGGAGAACCGUCGUGGUCGACGGACCACUCCAUGCCUGCAAUCUACGGUUCCAUGAGUAUGGUCGGCACCUGCAACGGCCUCGUGUGCCUGUGCGAUGACGGGGUGCCCGGCGGCGCCGUCAUGCUGGCCAACCCGUCGACCGGCCAAUCGCUCGCCGUCCCGCCGCUGCCGCUGUCCGACGCCGCCGUCCAGCUGCUGUGGAACAGCACCUGCACCAUGGCGUGGCACCAGACGUACAUCUUAGCGCGGCACCCUGCGACGGGGCGGUACAAGGUCGUGCACGUCCCGCGCCACUUCGACCGGUUCUGGGAGCCCGGCACGGUGCACGUGUUCACGCUGGGGGAGGCGUCGUGGCGGGACGUGCAGGCCGGCCCAGACGCCAGGUGCAUCCACGGCGCCUACCGCCUCGCCGACGUCGACGGCACGGUGUAUUGGGUCGCGGAGACGGAGGACGCCGCGAAGAUCAUGUCCUUCGACCUUGAAGACGAGAGCGUCACUCCCACCUAGCCUCUGCCCGUGCCGGCCCAACCGGGCAACUGUCGCCUGACGAAGGUGCACGGGAGGCUGGGCGUUGCCAUCAUCGGCGACGACUCGCUGACAGUGUGGGUCCUCGAGGACGAGCGGUGGUGUCUCCGGUACGUCGUGGAGGCGCACAGGCUGCGGCAGCAGCAGCCGUGGCUGAGGCGGGACCCCGUGGUGCCGCACUUUGCUCACGGCGACUACAUCUUCAUGCAUCGAGAUCGAGACCGCAAGAUGUACGGGCACAAGGUGAGUGAAGCGGCGAGGUUGCCGGACGGCGUGCUGCAGAUCAGAGACAACAGGGACCUCGACGAGGAAAUACUUUCUCUCCCGUGCCUUAUUGACCGGAUGUUUGCCUACGUCGAGACCAAGGAGCCGUUAAAUGUUUACAAAGCAGCGUUGGUAGGUAACUGACGAUGGAUCUGCAGCUUUUAGGGUCUCUUCGAUUGAAAGGAUUUUUCACAGGAAUUUUAGAGUUCUACUAGAAUCUUAGGAUUUUUUUCUAUGUUGGUUGUUUUGAGUCGUACAGUUAAAUUAUGUAGAAUUUUUUUCUAAAUAUAUUUGGAACCUCAUAUUAAGCGAGCGUCAGCUCAGGCUGUCCCCGGAACGAAUGUGCCCCCCAGGGAGCGUCGAAAGAGCGAAUGAUGCCGUUCUCUGGAGGCGUUCGCUUCAGGGGGGUUCUGCGUGACGGCCAGCUGGGCCAGAAGCCAGGGAGCGCACCAAAAAAGAAGUUGAAACUGGCUAGGCCUAGUUGGUUGUCUUUUCACAAAAAAAAAAAAAAAC
rnacentral:lncRNA from 1 species